CCUACGGGAGGCAGCAGUGGGGGAUAUUGCACAAUGGGGGAAACCCUGAUGCAGCGACGCCGCGUGGGUGAAGAAGCGCCUCGGCGCGUAAAGCCCUGUCAGCAGGGAAGAAAAUGACGGUACCUGAAGAAGAAGCCCCGGCUAACUACGUGCCAGCAGCCGCGGUAAUACGUAGGGGGCAAGCGUUAUCCGGAUUUACUGGGGGUAAAGGGGGCGCAGACGGCGAUGCAAGCCAGGAGUGAACGCCCGGGGCCCAACCCCGGGACUGCUCUUGGAACUGCGUGGCUAGAGUGCAGGAGGGGCAGGCGGAAGUCGUGGUGUAGCGGUGAAAUGCGUAGAUAUCAGGAGGAACACCGGUGGCGAAGGCGGCCUGCUGGACUGCAACUGACGUUGAGGCCCGAAAGCGUGGGGAGCAAACAGGAUUAGAUACCCUUGUAGUC
rnacentral:rRNA from 1 species